CGUGCACGUGUAUUUAUUAUAACAUUCAUAACGCAUAAUACGGUCACUAGUCCUCCGGUACAGUGCAGUCGGUUGCAUUUUUUUUUUCUCUUACAAUAAUCCCACGUGCGCGUAACCGUUCGGUUAUACUCGACUAAUUAUUAAACAUAACCCGCAAAACCCGACCCUAAACGGGAAUCGGGGAGAAACCGCCGGAACAUAAUAAUGCGUACAUAACGAGUUCGUCCAGUCCGUUCGUCGUUAUUAUUAUACGCGUGUUCGUAAUUAUACGUACACCACACCCUGCGAAACACAUUUUACGAUAUUUCUUCACGACAGAUUAUUUCGCGUACGUACGCGGACAACCUAUCCCUCGGCGCGGAACGGCUGGACGCGUUACAAUUAUUCGAAACGGAUAUUAUUGCGAUCGAUUUACUGAAGUCUUAUAGUAUUGUUGCGCGGAGCGUAUACGGGUGGGUAGCCUGAUCGCCAUCAAAGAGGACGGUGAUAUUGGAAUUAUUAUUGUUGUUGUUGUUAUUGUACGAGGCGUUCGGCGAUAUCUACACCGACCGCACAUUAUUAUUGUUUAUGCCGGCGACAAAACGAAACAAGUCUGUUUCGCACUAUAGGUCUCCCCGAGUUCUUGCGCGCGCGACACAAUCGCUCCGGUAAACAUAAUAGCGCGUAUAAUACAACAUUGUUAUGCGUCCGCUGUUAACAAAUCGUUAGUCGCUAUCAUACGGUUUUAUAUAUGUGUUAUUAUAAAAACGAUAUCGUACCGUGAUAAACACUUCGGUCGAACCGAAUCGCGUCCCGGCACGUAACGCGAGACGAACACGU